GACGAACGCUGGCGGCGUGCCUAAUACAUGCAAGUUGAGCGCUGAAGGUUGGUACUUGUACCAACUGGAUGAGCAGCGAACGGGUGAGUAACGCGUGGGGAAUCUGCCUUUGAGCGGGGGACAACAUUUGGAAACGAAUGCUAAUACCGCAUAAAAACUUUAAACACAAGUUUUAAGUUUGAAAGAUGCAAUUGCAUCACUCAAAGAUGAUCCCGCGUUGUAUUAGCUAGUUGGUGAGGUAAAGGCUCACCAAGGCGAUGAUACAUAGCCGACCUGAGAGGGGGAUCGGCCACGUUGGGACGGAGACACGGCCCAAAAUCCUACGGGAGGCAGCAGUAGGGAAUCUUCGGCAAUGGACGAAAGUCUGACCGAGCAACGCCGCGUGAGUGAAGAAGGGUUUCGGAUCGUAAAACUCUGUUGGUAGAGAAGAACGUUGGUGAGAGUGGAAAGCUCAUCAAGUGACGGUAACUACCCAGAAAGGGACGGCUAACUACGUG
rnacentral:rRNA from 1 species